rnacentral:rRNA from 1 species
UACGUAGGGUCCGAGCGUUGUCCGGAAUUAUUGGGCGUAAAGAGCUCGUAGGCGGUUUGUCGCGUCUGCUGUGAAAUCCCGAGGCUCAACCUCGGGCCUGCAGUGGGUACGGGCAGACUUGAGUGCGGUAGGGGAGAAUGGAAUUCCUGGUGUAGCGGUGGAAUGCGCAGAUAUCAGGAGGAACAUCAGUGGCGAAGGCGGCUGCCUGGCCCAAUACUGACACUCAGGUGCGACAGCGUGGGGAGCAAACAGG